UUACAUUUUGUAAAAAAUUCUUAAAAAUGACAUCUGUGUAGGGGCUUCCCUGGGGGCGCAGUGGUUGAGAGUCCGCCUGCCGAUGCAGGGGACACGGGUUCGUGCCCCGGUCCGAGAAGAUCCCACAUGCCGCGGAGCGGC